ACAGAGUACAGAAAAAUUACAUGAAAUUGCUGGAUUUCCUAGAAUUGUUGCCAUUGAUUGCACUCAUUUACGAAUUCAAUCAUCAUCUUAAUAUCAUACAGGUCUACUGAGAAAUCACUGGAUGGUUGUUAAUAGUGCUUACUCAAAUAUAAUAUAAUAUUUAUUAACACCAUUUCUCUGGCUGACCAGAGAUAUGAUGAAGUACACAUUAAGAAUAGGAAUACUAUAGAGAGAUAUACCGGCAGAAGUUUUAGUUCCAACAC